UACGAAGGGGGCUAGCGUUGCUCGGAAUUACUGGGCGUAAAGCGCACGUAGGCGGCUUCUUAAGUCGGUGGUGAAAUCCUGGAGCUCAACUCCAGAACUGCCUUCGAUACUGGGAGCUCGAGUCCGGAGAGGUGAGUGGAACUGCGAGUGUAGAGGUGAAAUUCGUAGAUAUUCGCAAGAACACCAGUGGCGAAGGCGGCUCACUGGCCCGGUACUGACGCUGAGGUGCGAAAGCGUGGGAGCAAACAGGG
rnacentral:rRNA from 1 species